rnacentral:rRNA from 1 species
GAUGAACGCUGGCGGCGUGCCUAAUACAUGCAAGUCGAACGAAUCACUUCGGUGGUUAGUGGCGAACGGGUGAGUAACACGUAGGUAACCUGCCCUUCAGACGAGGAUAACGGUUGGAAACGACCGCUAAUACUGGAUAGUACAUUUUAUCGCAUGACGAAAUGUUUAAAGUUCCGUUUGGAACACUGAAGGAGGGGCCUGCGGCUCAUUAGUUAGUUGGCGGGGGAACAGCCCACCAAGACGAUGAUGCGUAGCCGGACUGAGAGGUUGAACGGCCACAUUGGGACUGAGACACGGCCCAGACGACUACGGGAGGCAGCAGUAGGGAAUUUUCGGCAAUGGGGGAAACCCUGACCGAGCAACGCCGCGUGAAUGAUGAAGUAUUUCGGUAUGUAAAAGUCUUUUAUAGAGGACGAAUGUUACUUGGAGGAAAUGCCAGGUAAGUGACGGUACUUUAUGAAUAAGCCCCGGCCAACUAUGUGCCAGCCGCCGCUGUAAUAC